AGAGUUGAUCCUGGCUAGGAUGAACGCUAGCUACAGGCUUAACACAUGCAAGUCGAGGGGCAGCAUGAUCUAGCUGCUAGAAUUGAUGGCGACCGGCGCACGGGUGAGUAACGCGUAUCCAACCUUCCCUAUAGUAGAGGAUAGCCCGGCGAAAGUCGGAUUAAUACUCUAUGUUGUUCAAUGCGGACAUCUAAGUUGAACCAAAGGUUUACCGCUAUAGGAUGGGGAUGCGUCUGAUUAGAUGGUAGGCGGGGUAACGGCCCACCUAGUCGACGAUCAGUAGGGGUUCUGAGAGGAAGGUCCCCCACAUUGGAACUGAGACACGGUCCAAACUCCUACGGGAGGCAGCAGUGAGGAAUAUUGGUCAAUGGGCGAGAGCCUGAACCAGCCAAGUAGCGUGCAGGAUGACGGCCCUAUGGGUUGUAAACUGCUUUUAUAUAGGGAUAAAGUGCACCACGUGUGGUGUUUUGUAGGUACUAUAUGAAUAAGGACCGGCUAAUUCCGUGCCAGCCGCGGC
rnacentral:rRNA from 1 species